UUGACCUCAAAUCAGGUAGGACUACCCGCUGAACUUAAGCAUAUCAAUAAGCGGAGGAAAAGAAACUAACAAGGAUUCCCUUAGUAACUGCGAGUGAAGAGGGAAGAGCUCAAAUUUAAAAUCUGGCAGUGUUUUGCUGUCCGAGUUGUAAUCUAGAGAAGUGCUGCCCGUGCUGGACCAUGUACAAGUCUCCUGGAAUGGAGCGUCACAGAGGGUGAGAAUCCCGUCUUUGACAUGGACUACCAGUGCAUUUGUG
rnacentral:rRNA from 1 species